UACGUAGGGUGCAAGCGUUGUCCGGAUUUAUUGGGCGUAAAGAGCUUGUAGGCGGUUAGGUAGGUCUGCUGUGAAAACUCGAGGCUCAACCUCGAGACGUCGGUUGAAACCAUCUGGCUAGAGUCCGGAAGAGGAGAGUGGAAUUCCUGGUGUAGCGGUGAAAUGCGCAGAUAUCAGGAAGAACACCCGUGGCGAAGGCGGCUCUCUGGGACGGUACUGACGCUGAGACGCGAAAGCGUGGGGAGCGAACAGG
rnacentral:rRNA from 1 species